rfam:Schistosoma mansoni, Puerto Rico, WGS project CABG01000000 data, contig: 0170
ACCUAGCUGAUGAGUCGCAAAUAAGACGGUGCGUGCGUCCUAGAC